ensembl:lncRNA
ACUAAACCCACGUGCUGCAGCUACUGAAGCCCACAAGCCCUAGAGCCUGUGCUCAGCAACAAGAGAAGCCCCUGCAAUGAGAAGCCCCCACACCAAAAUUAGAGAGUAGCCCUGACUCUGCAAGUAGAGAAAACCCGAGUGCAGCAAUGGAGACCCAGUGCAACCCAAAAAUUUAAUUAACUAAUUAAAAAAAUAAAACUUGGUCAGAAAUGUCCCUGCUGGUCCAGUGCUUAGGAAUCCACCUUGCAAUGCAAAGGAUGUGGGUUUGAUCCCUGGUCGGAGAACUAAGAUUCCACAAGCUGAGGGGGAACCAAGCCUAUGCACCGCAACGAAGAUCCUGCAUGCUGCAACCAAGACCAAAUGCAGUCACAUCAAAAAAUAUUUUUUUAAAAAGAAAAACUGGUCAGUUCUAUGAAAAGAGUAACAGAACUGGCAUUGAGCAUGACGGAAACCAGACAAUCUCCUCUGGACACUUUAUUUUCCUCUCCCUCCUUUCAAGAGCUUCCUGGCUUCCUGGAAUUCCUAACCUGGACAUGAACAGCCCAGAGACAAGAUGUUUAUGACUGAGUUACUUCUGCAACUUCUCAUCUGUUGGUGGGUGUUAUACCUGCUGCGGACUAAAGUCAGGGAGCUGGACCUGGGCAGCUUGAUUAACUGGAUUUGGACACCAUGGCUUGACUCCACAAGCACCCAACUGUCCCCGACUUGCCUUGGCUCCUCGCCACAUGCGCAUCUGUGUGGCCCGUGGGGAAAGGUCAAGGUCAUGCGGCUUUUUCAUAGAGGCCAUUUGGUCACAUGGAUUCCCAGCAAGAGAAGGAGGAUGAAUCACAGCAGCUCCAUCGCCCUGUAACAAACAGCUCCGAACGCAUGCCCCACUGAGCAUGAGUCAGGUUGAGUGCAGAAUCAGAGGCCAUCUCCUUCCCAGCUUUCUACAUUUUUCUGUCUUGCUUCUCUUCCUGGGUUUGUUUUGCCUUUAGGUUUUCUUUUCUUUUUCAACUUUAUACCUAGGUUUUGAGACUUUCCCCUAGGUGUCUUGGCUAAGAAAGAGGCAGCACAUGUUUUUCUUAAGAAAUGCAUUCGGUAUAAAUACAGUAUAUUAUUCCUACAUUUUAUAUAGCAUAUUUAUAUUAUAUCUC